AAAAUUAAAUGUGAACUUGCAGGAGUGGCUGCAAAGAGGCUCUGCUGGAGCUGGAUCCAUCCAAAUCGGGGCCUGCUCCUCUUUUUGCAAAUCAUGAGUUUGUCCCAGUAAAAUAGCAAGCAAUUGUGCAGGACACAAGCAUAGCCCAGGCCUUAGCUGCAUCUCCCAUCCCCCUUAGCAGGGUCCACUGACCCUGCUUUGCAGCUAUCUGAUUUAGACUACGUGUGCCAAUGCAAAGUAGAAGAACAAGCCCAAAUCCUGAAGUGUAACAAGGAAGAGAACUGAAUAAGCCUAUGAACUGAUGGUGUCUUUUAGGUUGUAUUCUGAACUCGGGAAUUGCUGGUUCAGAAAAGACCUCUCCUUGAAUUGUCUGUGUUUUGUUAAAUUAACACUUUAACUUCCUCAACAGCAAAGCUCUUUCCUUGAAAUGCACAAUAUCUAUUUGUUAUUCUCAGUUCACAUUUAAUGUUCAAGAGUUCCAGUACAAAUUUCACCUACCUCCAACUUCUUUCCGUCCUGCUCAUUAAAUUUGUACUGAUUCAGCUAAUAUAGCUAGGAGGAAUCAUACUGUGACAAGAGAAGUUGUCAUCCUGUUACCUGAUAUUUUCAGCAUGUGCCCAUUUCCAUUUGGAAAGCUUGCUUGAAGUUGCAUGCUGGAAGAUAUGUAUGCUGUUGACAGAGUGUAGUUAAAAGGAGGAAUGACCUCUUAUAGAGGGUCGCUAACCUGGAUUUGCUUUGAAAAAAGUCUAGGCAGAGCCUGAGGCAGACUGACUCAGGCAGCCGUUCCCAGCCUGGAGCGCUGCCUGGGAAGAUGUCUUCAUGAGACCUUUAUUCCAUACCUGGAUGGGAAGGGGUGUGAGCCUGUGUACACCCAGUUUUAUACGGCAGUGUGUGCUUUUCUGCAGACUUCCUUUUCAGUUCAAAUAGGAUGAGGUAGAAACAUACCUAUUUUCCUCUUUUCAGGAAUUAAUCGAAGAGAAGUGACCAUCCAUAUGGUGCAGCAGUUGCAAGCCAAGCCACACAGUGGGGCUCUAACUGCGGUGAACAAGACUGGUGGCACCAGGAGCACCACCACUCACCAGCCUCUGGCAGGAGGAGGCCAGCCUCCAAAUCCCAGAGGCUAAGAAGAUCUAAAGUGAGUUUAAGGAAACUCCUGUUGGGACAGGUAACUGAGUAACCUCACAGCAAAAUGAUAUUACUAAAAAGUGGAGCAGCCCUUUGUUAGUCCUUCUCCUUUCCCAUUACAACCAGUUCAUGUUUUUUAGGGAUGGGGCACCUGAGAUUUCUGACCUCUAGUUUGACUUCACAGCAGCUCUGGAGUUUUCACAAAGUAGAUUAUUCCUCCUCACUAAAAUGUCCCUGAAGACCUUUGCAGGACUGUUGAGAAGCCCCUUUAUCUUCACAACCUGUAAGUCUACAGGAGAAUUUCAGACAUUUUGACCUUGCACCAAAGAAAUGGGAGAUGCAAAAUGAAUUGCACUUCAUAUUGGUUCUCAAUGCAGAUAAGAUGAAAUGAAACAAGUAUGUUUGUAGAAGGGAAAGAAUACCUGAUAAUUUUUAUACGCUAACAAACCUGUAACUUGGAUUCUAAGCACUGAAUUUAAAAAUACAGUAAAGUACAAAAAUACAAUAAAAUACAGUAACAGAAAGCA
rnacentral:lncRNA from 1 species